UAAUACGGAGGGUGCAAGCGUUAUCCGGAAUUAUUGGGCGUAAAGGGCGCGUAGGUGGCCCGGUAAGUCAAAGGUGAAAUCCCUCGGCUCAACUGAGGAAUUGCCUUUGAAACUGCCAGGCUCGAGGCCGGGAGGGGGUAGCGGAAUUCCCAGUGUAGCGGUGAAAUGCGUAGAUACUGGGAGGAACACCAGUGGCGAAGGCGGCUACCUGGACCGGUUCUGACACUGAGGCGCGAAAGCGUGGGGAGCAAACAGGAUUAGAUACCCUGGUAGUCCACGCUGUAAACGAUGGGUGCUCGGUGUCGCGGGUAUCGACCCCUGCGGUGCCUUAGCUAACGCGUUAAGCACCCCGCCUGGGGAGUACGGUCGCAAGGCUG
rnacentral:rRNA from 1 species